UACGUAGGUGGCGAGCGUUGUCCGGAUUUACUGGGCGUAAAGGGAGCGUAGGCGGACUUUUAAGUGAGGUGUGAAAUACCCGGGCUCAACUUGGGUGCUGCAUUUCAAACUGGAAGUCUAGAGUGCGGGAGAGGAGAAUGGAAUUCCUAGUGUAGCGGUGAAAUGCGUAGAGAUUAGGAAGAACACCAGUGGCGAAGGCGAUUCUCUGGACUGUAACUGACGCUGAGGCUCGAAAGCGUGGGGAGCAAACAGGAUUAGAUACCCGGGUAGUCCCU
rnacentral:rRNA from 1 species